UACGGGAGGCAGCAGUAGGGAAUCUUCCGCAAUGGACGAAAGUCUGACGGAGCAACGCCGCGUGAGUGAUGAAGGUCUUCGGAUCGUAAAACUCUGUUGUCAGGGAAGAACAAGUGAUGUUCAAAUAGGGCAUCACCUUGACGGUACCUGACCAGAAAGCCCCGGCUAACUACGUGCCAGCAGCCGCGGUAAUA
rnacentral:rRNA from 1 species